GCUUGUCUCAAAGAUUAAGCCAUGCAUGUCUAAGUAUAAAUAGUAUACAGUGAAACUGCGAAUGGCUCAUUAAAACAGUUAUAGUUUAUUUGAUAAUUGAAAAUUACAUGGAUAACCGUGGUAAUUCUAGAGCUAAUACAUGCAAAAAAACCCAGACUUACGAAUGGGUGCACUUAUUAGAUAAAGCCAACGCUGGGUAAAACCAGUUUCCCUUGGUGAUUCAUAAUAAUUAAGCGGAUCGCAUGGCCUUGUGCUAGCGACAGUCCACUCGAUUUUCUGCCCUAUCAUGGUUGAGAUUGUAAGAUAGAGGCUUACAAUGCCUACAACGGGUAACGGGGAAUUAGGGUUCGAUUCCGGAGAGGGAGCCUGAGAAACGGCUACCACAUCCAAGGAAGGCAGCAGG
rnacentral:rRNA from 1 species